AUUGAACGCUGGCGGCAGGCCUAACUCAUGCAAGUCGAGCGGAUGAAGGGAGCUUGCUCCUGGAUUCAGCGGCGGACGGGUGAGUAAUGCCUAGGAAUCUGCCUGGUAGUGGGGGAUAACGUCCGGAAACGGGCGCUAAUACCGCAUACGUCCUGAGGGAGAAAGUGGGGGAUCUUCGGACCUCACGCUAUCAGAUGAGCCUAGGUCGGAUUAGCUAGUUGGUGGGGUAAAGGCCUACCAAGGCGACGAUCCGUAACUGGUCUGAGAGGAUGAUCAGUCACACUGGAACUGAGACACGGUCCAGACUCCUACGGGAGGCAGCAGUGGGGAAUAUUGGACAAUGGGCGAAAGCCUGAUCCAGCCAUGCCGCGUGUGUGAAGAAGGUCUUCGGAUUGUAAAGCACUUUAAGUUGGGAGGAAGGGCAGUAAGUUAAUACCUUGCUGUUUUGACGUUACCAACAGAAUAAGCACCGGCUAACUUCGUGCCAGCAGCCGCGGUAAUACGAAGGGUGCAAGCGUUAAUCGGAAUUACUGGGCGUAAAGCGCGCGUAGGUGGUUCAGCAAGUUGGAUGUGAAAUCCCCGGGCUCAACCUGGGAACUGCAUCCAAAACUACUGAGCUAGAGUACGGUAGAGGGUGGUGGAAUUUCCUGUGUAGCGGUGAAAUGCGUAGAUAUAGGAAGGAACACCAGUGGCGAAGGCGACCACCUGGACUGAUACUGACACUGAGGCGCGAAAGCGUGGGGAGCAAACAGGAUUAGAUACCCUGGUAGUCCACGCCGUAAACGAUGUCGACUAGCCGUUGGGAUCCUUGAGAUCUUAGUGGCGCAGCUAACGCGAUAAGUCGACCGCCUGGGGAGUACGGCCGC
rnacentral:rRNA from 1 species